GGCGACCGGCGCACGGGUGAGUAACACGUAUCCAACCUGCCGAUGACUCGGGGAUAGCCUUUCGAAAGAAAGAUUAAUACCCGAUGGCAUAGUUCUUCCGCAUGGUAGAACUAUUAAAGAUUUCGGUCAUCGAUGGGGAUGCGUUCCAUUAGGUUGUUGGCGGGGUAACGGCCCACCAAGCCUUCGAUGGAUAGGGGUUCUGAGAGGAAGGUCCCCCACAUUGGAACUGAGACACGGUCCAAACUCCUACGGGAGGCAGCAUG
rnacentral:rRNA from 1 species